GACAAACGCUGGCGGCGUGCUUAACACAUGCAAGUCGAGCGAUGAAGUUCCUUCGGGAAUGAAUUAGCGGCGGACGGGUGAGUAACACGUGGGUAACCUGCCUCAUAGAGGGGAAUAGCCUUUCGAAAGGAAGAUUAAUACCGCAUAAGAUUGUAGUAUCGCAUGAUACAGCAAUUAAAGGAGUAAUCCGCUAUGAGAUGGACCCGCGUCGCAUUAGCUAGUUGGUGAGGUAACGGCUCACCAAGGCGACGAUGCGUAGCCGACCUGAGAGGGUGAUCGGCCACAUUGGGACUGAGACACGGCCCAGACUCCUACGGGAGGCAGCAGUGGUGAAUAUUGCACAAUGGGGGAAACCCUGAUGCAGCAACGCCGCGUGAGUGAUGACGGUCUUCGGAUUGUAAAACUCUGUCUUCAGGGACGAUAAUGACGGUACCUGAGGAGGAAGCCACGGCUAACUACGUGCCAGCCGCCGCGGUAA
rnacentral:rRNA from 1 species